rnacentral:rRNA from 1 species
GAUGAACGCUGGCGGCGUGCCUAAUACAUGCAAGUCGAACGCGAGAGGAGGGAGCUUGCUCCCUCUGAUCGAGUGGCGGACGGGUGAGUAACACGUAGGCAACCUGCCCAUCAGCCGGGGAUAACUGCGGGAAACCGUGGCUAAUACCGGAUAAUCCUCUCCACCGCGGGGUGGGGAGUUGAAAGACGGUUUCGGCUGUCGCUGAUGGAUGGGCCUGCGGCGCAUUAGCUGGUUGGCGGGGUAACGGCCCACCAAGGCAACGAGGCGUAGCGGACCUGGGAGGGCGAUCGGCCACACUGGGACUGAGCAGCGGCCCAGACUCCUACGGGAGGCAGCAGUAGGGAAUCUUCCGCAAUGGACGCAAGUCUGACGGAGCAACGCCGCGUGAGUGAAGAAGGGUUUCGGCUCGUAAAACUCUGUUGUUAAGGAAGAACGCCAGGUAGAGUAACUGCUACCUGUGUGACGGUACUUAACCAGAAAGCCACGGCUGACUACGUGCCAGCCGCCGCAGUAA